UCUACCACUUAUCGUAAUCGCUGUUUACCCGACCCCCAUGAUGCUUCUCUUAAAAACUUGAAUCAACGUUCUCUCUUAAAAAAAAAAAAAAAAAUCACGAACCGUACCUCGAUGCGUAUUAUCUCUUCACACCGAAUUUUAAUGGGUCAUUUUGGUUAAGAAAAAUCCUGUUCAAGUAAAAGAUUACGAAGAAUGUCGAAGAAAAGUCGAAAAGAUUACCUAUCGAGUGAAUCAAUCGCGCGACUUCUCUUCAUUUCUUUUAUUUUCACACUCGCUAAAAUCUAAAG